rnacentral:rRNA from 1 species
ACAACUCAUGACGGUGGAUGUCUUGGUUCCAGCAACGAUGACGAACGCAGCGAAUUGCGAAAAGUAGUACGAACUGCAGAACCCGUGAAUCAUCAAAUUUUUGAACGCAAGUGCGCUCGCGGGUAAUCCUGCGCGAUGUCUGUUUGAGUGUC